AUCUCUUGAGACUUCACUUCAGCUUCACUGACUUCUUGACUCUCCUCUUGAGUAAAAGGACUCAGCCAACUAUGAAGUUUUUUGUCUUUGCUUUAGUCUUGGCUCUCAUGAUUUCCAUGAUUAGCGCUGAUUCACAUGAAAAGGUAAGACAUUUUCAUUUACGGGAAAACUUGAUAAAUAAACAUAUAUUGAAUUUUUAAUCUUUUCUUUUUAUUUCAUAGAGACAUCAUGGGUAUAGAAGAAAAUUCCAUGAAAAGCAUCAUUCACAUCGAGAAUUUCCAUUUUAUGGGGACUAUGGAUCAAAUUAUCUAUAUGACAAUUGAUAUCCUUAGUAAUCAUGGGGCAUGAUUAUAGAGGUAAGCUGACUCUAGUUGCUUGUCUUUCUAGAAGUGUCAACACUGACAGUUUAAAAAAAAAGCCAUAAGCUAACAACCAUUCCAGUUUAAGAAAUGUAGCAUGGGUUAGCUCCUUGAAGUGUAUUCAUUUGUAUAAAUGCUUCUGAAGCUGUAGAUAUGUGGUGUUAUUUCUGAGGUCUCUGUUCUGUGCCAUUGGUCUGUAUGUUGUUUUGGUACUGGUACCAUGCUGUUUUGGUAACUGU
rnacentral:lncRNA from 10 species